AUUUUAUCAAUAUUAACCCUUUGUCUUUCAUAGUCUGAAAAUUUAAAGUUAAUAUUUCAAAUGUCAUUAUUUCCAUAAUGAAAAAAUAUUGAAAAACAAAUGUUUUCCCUCUAUUUGCUAAAACUUUAUCCUUUUUUUUUUUUAGGGCACCACUCUUCCUUAUAUUGCACUACUUAGCCUUCAAAUUUCAGAGAGUAUUACAAAUGAAGUCUCUUUGACUCUGUUUUCUCAUCAUUUUCCCAAGCCAUGGUCAACAGCUUCAAGAGAUACCGCAUGCAGGAUCUUAGUUCCCCGACCAGGGAUGGAACCUGUUUCUCUGCAGUGGAAGCACGGCAUCUUAAGCACUGGACUGCCAGGGAAGUCCCAACAGCAAUUGUUUUAAACCAUCUAAAAUUUAGAUGCUUCCAAAGAAUUCAAAUUAGGAUUCAUCAUAGCAUCACAUCCUUCAGAUUCAUAUUUUACUUGUUUAAGUUAAUGGUCAAUAAAUUAUUAAACUGUUUUUAUAUUUACUUAUUUUAUUUAUUUAUUUUAUUUUUU
rnacentral:lncRNA from 1 species